UUUUUCAUUUCUCAACUUUCUUUCUCUCUCUUCUAUCUUUUCUCUCUCUGCUACGCACUCUUUCUCUCUCUGUCGCCUAUUCAUGAAGAACAACAAGAACACCUCCGUCUCGUCCCCGGAUUCCGGCGGCUGGCCAUCACGAAUCUCAUACUCCGGCGAGCCACCACACUAGCUCGUCCUUCACCACCACAUCCACCACCAUCACACCUACAAAUCACUAGAAAUUGUUCGCCGCCUUUAUUCCUCCGCGCUGUGAAGCAUACUCGCCGAUUUCAUUCUUUCGUUUUCAAAAGCCUCUCUGGUAAUCUUUCGAUUUCAUUCUUUUUUCUUCUCACCGAUUUCAUAAGCUACUUGCAUUACUUCUCACUGAUUUUGAUUUCUUCAUUUCUUCUUCUCUUAGGUGGGUUCAAUUCCUCAAAUUUUGAUCUUGCAUGUUUGAAAUCUUCCCUGAAAUUGGAUCUUUGGAUGUCAAUCAGGUACCUAGAAUAAUAUCAUCUCUCUUUCAUACUAUUUUUCGUUAUUUAUUUUAAUUUUUGCAGAAUGCAUUCCAGUGAUAAAAUUGAAUUUUUAUCAAUUGGUUCAGAUUAAUCAAACCCCAUAUGAAUUUUGUGUAUUUUGUGCAAAACAAAGUUAAAGCUUUGAUUUUUAAUGAUUUAUGUUUUGUGGGGUUUGUUUGUUUGUGUUGGACAGGUAGUUGAAGUUUCAACUUCAAAUCUGGAAAACAUGGACAUGUUAAGUGUUGCUUUGUUGGUUUUCACAUCUUCACUGGCCAAAAACAUGAAGAUAUUGUUCCUUCUUCUCAUAACUGUCAUGCAUGGUUUUCAUUUUAAUAUGAGGUUAUUUUUUGGGUUUGGAAUAUAUUUUUAAUUAGUGAUUAACUAAGAUGUGUUUGUUUGUUAUUACAACAGGUUCCUCAUAUCAAUUGUACUCAUAAACUUGCUAAAUAUGAGGUAGUUCGGCGGCAGCUUCCGACACAGAGGUAAGGAUUUGUUUCUAUGUAAUUAAAACCAUGGCUAUCACUAAUUAGCUGCAUACUAUUCUUACCAAAUAAUUAUUGAUUUGUUUCUAUGUAUAUGCAGGGAACAAUCUUUGUUAAAUUUUGUAGCUUUACUGUGCUGUUUCGAUUUUUUUUUAUUAAAGAUUACAUUUUUACUUUGUUUUGUUUGAAUUCUUUUUCUACUCUUUUUAUCGAUUUUGAUUCAUGGGUUUGGAAAUUACAACUAUGCAAUAGAGUUUAAACUUGAAUUAGGUGUCACUGUUAACAAUAUUAUUUAAAUGCACUCCUGUCUUUGAGUAGAGAAAAGUCUAGAUAUGGCCGCAAGAAGAAAAUGCUUUUGAUUGAUCUCUUUGAGAAUUGUAAUAAUUUUCAGCAUUGUCCUUGUGAUCAGAAGUUGUUGGAACACCAAAAUAUAACAAUUUUACAUAUGCUGAUGUACAUAUCCAUAAGUUCACUUGCCAACUGAACUAUGAAGCUGAAUUUUAAUUGUUGUACUCAUGCUGGCUAGAUAUUGUGGUAGUUUUUCUCUUAAGUGACAGGGGAGACAUGAUGGGUUGGCUUUUUUGAGUUAAAUUGUGUUCUGGGUCAAUUUAAAGUUUAUAGCAUAUAGGUUUGCUUACAGCAUAGGGUAUAGUGCUUUACUGAAUUGCUUAUUCAUUAUUUUUUUAAUGUUAUGUAUUAUAGAGGUUUAUUUAAGGUGGUAACGGAAGGAGGAUUUGAUGCCAUUAUUUCAGUGAACUCUUGUGACCAUGUUGAUGAAUUCCUUGAUUUUAUGUAUUGCCAUGGUUAAUAAUACGUAGCUUGGUGUUGCAAUAGAAGUUGUGUUACCUUCUUAUUUCNN
rnacentral:lncRNA from 1 species